AUUGAACGCUGGCGGCAGGCCUAACACAUGCAAGUCGAGCGGUAACACAGGGAGCUUGCUCCUGGGUGACGAGCGGCGGACGGGUGAGUAAUGUCUGGGAAACUGCCUGAUGGAGGGGGAUAACUACUGGAAACGGUAGCUAAUACCGCAUAACGUCGCAAGACCAAAGAGGGGGACCUUCGGGCCUCUUGCCAUCAGAUGUGCCCAGAUGGGAUUAGCUAGUAGGUGGGGUAACGGCUCACCUAGGCGACGAUCCCUAGCUGGUCUGAGAGGAUGACCAGCCACACUGGAACUGAGACACGGUCCAGACUCCUACGGGAGGCAGCAGUGGGGAAUAUUGCACAAUGGGCGCAAGCCUGAUGCAGCCAUGCCGCGUGUAUGAAGAAGGCCUUCGGGUUGUAAAGUACUUUCAGCGGGGAGGAAGGCGUUGAGGUUAAUAACCUCAUCGAUUGACGUUACCCGCAGAAGAAGCACCGGCUAACUCCGUGCCAGCAGCCGCGGUAAUACGGGGGGUGCAAGCGUUAAUCGGAAUUACUGGGCGUAAAGCGCACGCAGGCGGUCUGUCAAGUCGGAUGUGAAAUCCCCGGGCUUAACCUGGGAACUGCAUUCGAAACUGGCAGGCUAGAGUCUUGUAGAGGGGGGUAGAAUUCCAGGUGUAGCGGUGAAAUGCGUAGAGAUCUGGAGGAAUACCGGUGGCGAAGGCGGCCCCCUGGACAAAGACUGACGCUCAGGUGCGAAAGCGUGGGGAGCAAACAGGAUUAGAUACCCUGGUAGUCCACGCCGUAAACGAUGUCGACUUGGAGGUUGUGCCCUUGAGGCGUGGCUUCCGGAGCUAACGCGUUAAGUCGACCGCCUGGGGAGUACGGCCGCAAGGUUAAAACUCAAAUGAAUUGACGGGGGCCCGCACAAGCGGUGGAGCAUGUGGUUUAAUUCGAUGCAACGCGAAGAACCUUACCUACUCUUGACAUCCAGAGAACUUAGCAGAGAUGCUUUGGUGCCUUCGGGAACUCUGAGACAGGUGCUGCAUGGCUGUCGUCAGCUCGUGUUGUGAAAUGUUGGGUUAAGUCCCGCAACGAGCGCAACCCUUAUCCUUUGUUGCCAGCGGUUAGGCCGGGAACUCAAAGGAGACUGCCAGUGAUAAACUGGAGGAAGGUGGGGAUGACGUCAAGUCAUCAUGGCCCUUACGAGUAGGGCUACACACGUGCUACAAUGGCGCAUACAAAGAGAAGCGACCUCGCGAGAGCAAGCGGACCUCAUAAAGUGCGUCGUAGUCCGGAUUGGAGUCUGCAACUCGACUCCAUGAAGUCGGAAUCGCUAGUAAUCGUAGAUCAGAAUGCUACGGUGAAUACGUUCCCGGGCCU
rnacentral:rRNA from 1 species